rnacentral:rRNA from 1 species
UACAGAGGGUGCGAGCGUUGUCCGGAAUUACUGGGCGUAAAGGGCGCGUAGGCGGCUUGGUAAGUCGGGGGUGGAAGUCAGCGGCUCAACCGCUGGACUGCCUUCGAGACUGCCUGGCUUGAGCAUGGUAGAGGCUGGCGGAAUUCCCGGUGUAGCGGUGGAAUGCGUAGAUAUCAAGAGGAACACCUGAGGUGAAGACGGGUUGCUGGGCCGACACUGACGCUGAGUGCGCGAAAGCCAGGGGAGCAAACGGG